AGCCGGGACAUACGCAACAGAAAUUUGUGAACCCCGUCAGGUCCGGAAGGAAGCAGCGGUAAGCGAAGCCCUCUGUGUGCCGUAUUCAUCCCGGAGGUA
rnacentral:SRP_RNA from 1 species